rnacentral:lncRNA from 1 species
GUUCCCCUGGUUACAGUCCAGACAGCCCCUGAGGGGAGUGAAGUGAAUGCUAUUUCUGACGCUACAUUUCCCUUGACAUCUGCAGGAGGCUCGGUGAAAGAGGGACUCGAUGAAGAGACUUCAGCAGAUUCAAAACUCCGGUCAGAGAAAAGUGUAGAUAAUCCAACACAGCACCUACAGAAUGAAAUUCCAACAGUAAUCAUCAGUGUGGUAGUGACAGUCAUUCUUCUCUUCACAUUCCUGCUCAUAAUGUUCUUGACAUAUAAACGCUCGGGGAAAUAUCAACUGCAUAUGAUAAAAAGCUCAGACUUAUCUGGAGAACAAAUUCCCAAUGGAGUGGAAGAAGAGAAUACCCUUUUCACUCUGCAGCAGAUACCUGACAGCCAUUCAGUAUCACAGGGAACAUGUCACGAUCCUGUGGAAUCCAGCAUCUAAACGAGGCUCUUUCAUGCUAGGCUGGAAAAUAAGGAUUAAUUCCUUGCUAACCCUGGAAAUAAUGAUGGGUACAAACCAAAACCCAGAUCCAAACACCUGAACUGUGGGGAGUUUAAAACCUAGAAGCAGAUUUUACUCAAAGGUUUUUAAGCAUUUAACUUCCAGGGGAUCCCCUGAGGAUCUGGGCCUUUUCCUCUUGAGCCAUGUGUAAAACUUCUGGAUAAAGUGGCCUCUGUUAGAAGAUAUUUUACCCAUUGCUUGCAUCGCAGAAUUCUUAGUCCCUGGAACUGCUUGCUUAUGAGUAACUUCAAAGCACAUAAGAAAUCUUGCUGAAGUCAACUGGACUACACAUAUCCUUAAGAUCUGAGCCUUAUUUAUCAAUAACAGCAGGAGCGCAGGAACAAUUUGUAUCGUGAGGGUGCUCAGAGCCAUUGAACCAAGUUGUAAACCCUGUAUGUGAUGGAAACCACUUGAAGCCAGGGGUGCUGUGUUACCACUGGAAUAGAUUUUACCUUUCUUUAUAUUCUCCUAACCCGACUGCCUG